GGGGAAAUAGCUCAAUUGGACAGAGCAACGGUCUUCUAAACCGUAGGCUAUGGGUUCGAGUCCCAUUUUCCCUACCA
rnacentral:tRNA from 1 species